rnacentral:ribozyme from 13 species
GUUUUUUUGUUUUGUUUUGUUUCGUUUUUUGUGCUUGUCGAAGUUUCUUCCUCAUGGCGGCAGAACCAAAAAAGAAAAAGAAAAGGAGGAAGGAGCACUUUGUCUGUGAACUGGACGAAUUUAAAGAAGAC